CCCCUUAAUAGUCACAAGUUUGCCUCUUGGCACGUGAAGCUUAGACUCUUUACUAUCGGGGCCUUUGCAGAAAAAGCUGCUACAGAAGGAGGGAAACUGAACAAGUGUCCAAGUGUCGGGGGUGAUGGCAGGGUGCCCAGGUUUUUAUAUCCAGUCGGUUCUGUUUCUCUGGAGAAUCCUGACCAAUGCAGAUCUUGGUCCAAGACUGACCAACAUCCCAACGCUGCUUCUCUCCUGGACACCAGGUUGUCUCUAGCCAUCCUGGGUGAUGCCAGCAAUCUUGUUACAUGCAGACGUGGGGCUGGGAUUUGAAAUGAUGCCCUCUGAUCUCAGGUAUUUGCAAGUUUGGCCUCAAUCUUUGUUCCGGAUCGGUGAAAAUAACAGGCCCCCAAAUGUGAGUUUCGUGUCUGCCCUCCUUACAAGAAGUUCUAGCUCUUUUGGGAAAUAGCUUUUUUCUAUUUGCAGCUCCUUCAGGCUAGCUGGGAAGUUAACCUUUUGCUUUUCCCAUCCUUCUCUUUUUAAAAUGGGUUCUUUCUAAUGCAAACCCCUCUUUUUUUCUUAAGAUACUUUUCUUUGGGGUAUAAUUUACAUUCAGUGAAAUGUACUGCUUUUAAGAGACAGCAAUCUUGUUACGUAUUUGACAAAUACCUGGAACUCUGUAGGCCACACCACUAUCAAGAUACUGAAUAUUUCUAUUGUUCCAGAAAGUUCCCUCUGUCCCUUCUUGCCCUCUUCUCCUGGGUGAGGGUACUC